rnacentral:misc_RNA from 1 species
AAAAUUGAGAAUGUGAAUGGAAAACUGAAAGAAGAUGAAUCCAAAGAAAAAGAAGAUGAUGCAGUAGAAGUUGAGUUUAAGAUGUGGGAGAGCUGCAAGAUUGAAAAGAAAGAGUUUUCACCAGAAAGAGAACUGGAACAGGAAUCCUUUGAGGAUGAAGUGGAAUCCAAGGUAGAGGGUGGUGAGAGCUUCGAUCAGAUAAAUGGGUUAUCUUCAGCAGAAAAUGUUGAUGACGGUGGGAGCUCACCUUCAAAGCAGCAACAACAGAAGAAGAAGAAGCCUUUGCUCCGCAAGUUUGGAAGCCUACUCAAGAAGAAGAGUACUAGCAACCAGAAGUAGAAGAGACCAGUUACGGCCUGACUUAUGUCCAAUUAACAGGCAGAAUAUGAAAGUUCAGAAAAUUCUAAGGUGAAUUCACAUGGUUUAUCCUCCCUUCUCAUACCUCGACACUUUAGUCAACUUGAGAACCUGUCCAAAUGAAAACUGAUGAACUGUAGUCUGUAUAUUGCUUGUAUAAAACUUCUAUGCUGGUGAAAAAUGUGUUGGUGAAGAUCACUUUGAUUCACACUUUAAUCAGGAUUGUGGGCUUGGGUAUAUCCACUGCCAAAAUGUCUAGCAUAUCAGGCAACAAAUACCUUACUCUUGGCUCAUGCAGGCAAAACAAAACCUUUUGGGUUUCAGCAAUCACCUCAGAUAAUAGCCUACUUGCAUGGCAGAGGUGAUUCUAGAUGGUUUCAUCUUUGCAUAAAUGAAACCGUCGUGAUAAAAUUUUUAGAAUUGAGGCUAUUUCUUGAUAUUUGGUAUUUGCAUUUGAAGAAAGCAUGAAAUGCAUCCCUUAUUACCAGCAAAUUUGAGAUAAUCCCUGAACUUCUUGUGUGUACAUGUUUCUAUGUAUUGGAAAUGCCUAAUUUAUUUUCAGGCAUG